rnacentral:rRNA from 1 species
UACGUAGGGUGCAGGCGUUUAAUCGGAAUUACUGGGCGUAAAGCGUGCGCAGGCGGUCUACUAAGACAGGUGUGAAAUCCCCGGGCUUAACCUGGGAACUGCGCUUGUAACUGGUAGGCUUGAGUGUGGCAGAGGGGGGUGGAAUUCCACGUGUAGCAGUGAAAUGCGUAGAGAUGUGGAGGAACACCGAUGGCGAAGGCAGCCCCCCUGGGCUAACACUGACGCUCAUGCACGAAAGCGUGGGGAGCAAACAGG